GUCCACGCCCUAAACGAUGUCAACUGGUUGUCGGGGAAGUUUUUCCUUGGUAACGAAGCUAACGCGUGAAGUUGACCGCCUGGGGAGUACGGCCGCAAGGUUAAAACUCAAAGGAAUUGACGGGGACCCGCACAAGCGGUGGAUUAUGUGGAUUAAUUCGAUGCAACGCGAAAAACCUUACCUACCCUUGACAUGUGCGGAAGGGGGUAGAGAUACCUCGGUGCCCGAAAGGGAACCGCAACACAGGUGCUGCAUGGCUGUCGU
rnacentral:rRNA from 1 species